rnacentral:rRNA from 1 species
GACGAACGCUGGCGGCGUGCUUAACACAUGCAAGUGGAGCGACGAACCGGGCUUCGGCCCGGGGCAAAGCCGCGAACGGGUGAGUAACACGUGGAUAACCUGCCCUGAAGACCGGGACAACCCGGGGAAACCCGGGCUAAUACCGGAUGUCCUCGCCGUCCACAAGGACGGUGAGCAAAGGAAGCUUCGGCCUCCGCUUCAGGAGGGGUCCGCGGCCCAUUAGCUUGUUGGUGAGGUAACGGCUCACCAAGGCGACGAUGGGUAGCUGGUCUGAGAGGACGAUCAGCCACACUGGGACUGAGACACGGGCCCAGACUCCUACGGGAGGCAGCAGUGGGGAAUAUUGGGCAACGGGGCGAAAGCCUGACCCAGCAAUGCCGCGUGGGUGAAGAA